rnacentral:rRNA from 1 species
GACGAACGCUGGCGGCGUGCUUAACACAUGCAAGUCGAGCGAUGAAACCGGAGCUUGCUCCGGUGGAUUAGUGGCGAACGGGUGAGUAACACGUGAGUAACCUGCCCUUGACUCUGGGAUAACUGCGGGAAACUGUAGCUAAUACCGGAUACGACCCUCGGAGGCAUCUCCUGGGGGUGGAAAGAAUUUCGGUCAAGGAUGGACUCGCGGCCUAUCAGCUAGUUGGUGAGGUAACGGCUCACCAAGGCGACGACGGGUAGCCGGCCUGAGAGGGUGACCGGCCACACUGGGACUGAGACACGGCCCAGACUCCUACGGGAGGCAGCAGUGGGGAAUAUUGCACAAUGGGCGCAAGCCUGAUGCAGCAACGCCGCGUGAGGGAUGACGGCCUUCGGGUUGUAAACCUCUUUUAGCAGGGAAGAAGCGAAAGUAACGGUACCUGCAGAAAAAGCACCGGCUAACUACGUGCCAGCCGCCGCAGUAA